rnacentral:rRNA from 1 species
CCUACGGGUGGCAGCAGUGGGGAAUAUUGGACAAUGGGGGGAACCCUGAUCCAGCCAUGCCGCGUGUGUGAAGAAGGCCCUCGGGUUGUAAAGCACUUUCAGUGAGGAAGAACGCCUGGUGGUUAAUACCCAUCAGGAAAGACAUCACUCACAGAAGAAGCACCGGCUAACUCCGUGCCAGCAGCCGCGGUAAUACGGAGGGUGCGAGCGUUAAUCGGAAUUACUGGGCGUAAAGCGCGCGUAGGUGGCUUGAUAAGCCGGUUGUGAAAGCCCCGGGCUCAACCUGGGAACGGCAUCCGGAACUGUCAAGCUAGAGUGCAGGAGAGGAAGGUAGAAUUCCCGGUGUAGCGGUGAAAUGCGUAGAGAUCGGGAGGAAUACCAGUGGCGAAGGCGGCCUUCUGGACUGGCACUGACACUGAGGUGCGAAAGCGUGGGUAGCAAACAGGAUUAGAUACCCGGGUAGUC